rnacentral:rRNA from 1 species
AGAGUUUGAUCCUGGCUCAGAACGAACGCUGGCGGCAUGCUUAACACAUGCAAGUCGAACGAAGGCUUCGGCCUUAGUGGCGCACGGGUGAGUAACGCGUGGGAACCUGCCUCUUGGUUCGGAAUAACUGCGGGAAACUGCAGCUAAUACCGGAUACGUCGGUGGAUCGUGGAGGUCUGCUGGGAAAGAUUUAUCGCCGA